AUUGAACGCUGGCGGAAUGCUUUACACAUGCAAGUCGAGCGGCAGCGCGGGGGCAACCCUGGCGGCGAGCGGCGAACGGGUGAGUAACAUAUCGGAACGUACCCAGUAAUGGGGGAUAACUACCCGAAAGGGUAGCUAAUACCGCAUACGCCCUGAGGGGGAAAGCGGGGGAUCGGAAACGACCUCGCGUUAUUGGAGCGGCCGAUAUCGGAUUAGCUAGUUGGUGGGGUAAAGGCCUACCAAGGCGACGAUCCGUAGCGGGUCUGAGAGGACGACCCGCCACACUGGAACUGAGACACGGUCCAGACUCCUACGGGAGGCAGCAGUGGGGAAUUUUGGACAAUGGGGGCAACCCUGAUCCAGCCAUUCCGCGUGAGUGAAGAAGGCCUUCGGGUUGUAAAGCUCUUUCGGCAGGAACGAAACGGUGGGCUCUAACAUAGCCUGCUAAUGACGGUACCUGAAGAAGAAGCACCGGCUAACUACGUGCCAGCAGCCGCGGUAAGAC
rnacentral:rRNA from 1 species